rnacentral:rRNA from 1 species
GAUGAACGCUAGCGAUAGGCUUAACACAUGCAAGUCGAGGGGCAGCGAGGGUAGCAAUACCUGUCGGCGACCGGCGCACGGGUGAGUAACGCGUAUGUAACCUGCCCGCAACAGGGGGAUAACCCAGCGAAAGUCGGACUAAUACCGCAUAAAACAGGGGUCCCGCAUGGGAAUAUUUGUUAAAGAUUUAUCGGUUGCGGAUGGGCAUGCGUACCAUUAGGUAGUUGGUGAGGUAACGGCUCACCAAGCCUUCGAUGGUUAGGGGUUCUGAGAGGAAGGUCCCCCACACGGGUACUGAGACACGGACCAGACUCCUACGGGAGGCAGCAGUGAGGAAUAUUGGUCAAUGGGCGAGAGCCUGAACCAGCCAAGUCGCGUGAAGGAUGACUGCCCUAUGGGUUGUAAACUUCUUUUACAAGGGAAUAAAAUGAGAUACGGGUAUUUUAUUGCAUGUACCUUGGGAAUAAGCAUCGGCUAACUCCGUG